rnacentral:tRNA from 1 species
CGAGGUUUAGCGCAGUUUGGUAGCGCACCUGGUUUGGGACCAGGGUGCCACAGGUUCGAAUCCUGUAACCUCGACCA